rnacentral:rRNA from 1 species
AUUGAACACUGGCGGCAUGCCUUACACAUGCAAGUCGAACGGUAACAGGUCUUCGGAUGCUGACGAGUGGCGAACGGGUGAGUAAUGCAUCGGAACGUGCCCAGUAGUGGGGGAUAGCCCGGCGAAAGCCGGAUUAAUACCGCAUACGACCUGAGGGUGAAAGGGGGGGAGCGCAAGACCUCUCGCUAUUGGAGCGGCCGAUGUCAGAUUAGCUAGUUGGUGGGGUAAAGGCCUACCAAGGCAACGAUCUGUAGUUGGUCUGAGAGGACGACCAGCCACACUGGGACUGAGACACGGCCCAGACUCCUACGGGAGGCAGCAGUGGGGAAUUUUGGACAAUGGGCGCAAGCCUGAUCCAGCAAUGCCGCGUGCAGGAAGAAGGCCUUCGGGUUGUAAACUGCUUUUGUCAGGGAAGAAAUCUUCUGGGUUAAUACCUCGGGAGGAUGACGGUACCUGAAGAAUAAGCACCGGCUAACUACGUGCCAGCAGCCGCUGUAAGAC